AUAUAUAUAUAUAUGUAAUGGUAAGAUCCAAGGAUCAAAGUGUAGGAAGUUAGUAAGUUUCGAGUAGUCCAUAGAAGGUAUAAAAAGCAACUUUCAGGAACAAGAGUGGCUUACUAACAUAAAAGGUUGUAAAUUUUCCC